CAGCCGUAAACUAUGCGCGUUAGGUGUAUCGGUGACCACGAGUUACCGAGGUGCCGAAGGGAAACCGUGAAACGUGCCGCCUGGGAAGUACGGUCGCAAGGCUGAAACUUAAAGGAAUUGGCGGGGGAGCACAACAACGGGUGGAGCCUGCGGUUUAAUUGGACUCAACGCCGGACAACUCACCGGGAACGACAGCAAUAUGUAGGCCAAGCUGAAGACCUUGCCUGAAUCGCUGAGAGGAGGUGCAUGGCGUAGACGUCU
rnacentral:rRNA from 1 species